AUACGUAGGGUGCGAGCGUUGUCCGGAAUUUUUGGGCGUAAAGAGCUCGUAGGCGGUCUGUCGCGUCGGUCGUGAAAACUUGGGGCUUAACCCUGAGCUUGCGGUCGAUACGGGCAUGACUGGAGUUCGGCAGGGGAGACUGGAAUUCCUGGUGUAGCGGUGAAAUGCGCAGAUAUCAGGAGGAACACCGGUGGCGAGGGCGGGUCUCUGGGCCGAUACUGACGCUGAGGAGCGAAAGCGUGGGGAGCGAACAGGA
rnacentral:rRNA from 1 species